GAUGAACGCUGGCGGCGUGCCUAAUACAUGCAAGUCGAGCGAACAGACGAGGAGCUUGCUCCUCUGACGUUAGCGGCGGACGGGUGAGUAACACGUGGAUAACCUACCUAUAAGACUGGGAUAACUUCGGGAAACCGGAGCUAAUACCGGAUCAUAUAUUGAACCGCAUGGUUCAAUAGUGAAAGCCGGUUUUGCUGUCACUUAUAGAUGGAUCCGCGCCGCAUUAGCUAGUUGGUAAGGUAACGGCUUACCAAGGCAACGAUGCGUAGCCGACCUGAGAGGGUGAUCGGCCACACUGGAACUAAGACACGGUCCAGACUCCUACGGGAGGCAGCAGUAGGGAAUCUUCCGCAAUGGGCGAAAACUUGACGGAGCAACGCCGCGUGAGGGAUGAAGGUCUUCGGAUCGUAAAACUCUGUUAUUAGGGAAGAACAAAUCUGUAAGUAACUAUGCACGUCUUGACGGUACCUAAGCAGAAAGCCACGGCUAACUACGUG
rnacentral:rRNA from 1 species